CUAUCUUAUAUUACAGUAUUAGCCGAGUUGAACUAUUUUUCUUGUACAUUGUUUGAAACAGACCAGUGAUAUAAUAUAUUUAGGUUUUGUUGAAAACCCGAAAGCGGAAUUGAAUUACGCAUUGAAUUACGUAAAAUCUCCAGGGGAGAGGUGACCAAACGGAAUACCGGUACAGGAACAUUUAUUUCUCCUAUUAUGAUAAAAUCUUCAAGGAGGCAAAAUGUCUUUUUCACCUGAAGAAAUCCACAAAAAGACUGAGAAUAUCCAUAAGACAAUCUCCGAGCAAUACAAUCCAACUUUAAAGAAUUUUCUAUUAGCUGGAAGACAAUAUGAAAAAGCAUUAUCAAAUGUAUCCAUUGCAUCAAGGCAAUACUUUGAUACAAUGGCAAAGUUGGGUUCAGUGGCAUCUGACAAUGAAAGUUCUAAAGAUCUAUGUGAAAGUACAAGACAAAUUUCUGAUACUCUGAGGCAAACGCAACUUAAUUUUGAUGAAACGGUGAAAUUUUUGAGUACGGAAGUUAUAUAUCCAUUGGAAAACAAGUUGGAAAAUGACAUGAAGUAUAUGCAAAACCUACAGAAGAAAUAUCUUAACGACUAUAGGUUAAGGACAGAGGAUCUUCAAAGGAUAACACAAACCCACAGGAAAAUGAAGCAAAAAAGUUUUAACGGAAAAAAAUCUUACAAAUAUGACGAAAAAGAGAAAGAGUUGGCAGAAACGGUUGCACAUAAACAGAGGUCGUUUGAACAAUUCCAACAUGAUCAUUUGAAGAAUGCUUUUAUUGAAGAAAGAAGAAGAUAUUGUUUCUUCGUUGAACAAAAUUGUGAACUUACUAAAAAGAAAAUCAUGUAUCAUCGAAAAGCCUUGGAGUCGUUAACAAGUCAAUUACCAAAGUGGGUGGAAUCAUGCGCUGAUGCUAAAAUUCUUCCAGAUCAAGCAGAUUUGUUGCUAGGCAACGUUAAAUCUGAUGAUAAUAAUUCUAUUUAUUCUAUUCCUGAACCACCGAGUGAGCCCGCUGCUCAGUAUAAUGGUGGAUAUGGAAAUGUAAUGCCGGGAAGAAUGAAUCCAACAAUGAACAGUCAUUUGCAAGAUGGUUACAAUGCACCUUUGCCACAACCCGUCAACUCUACCGGUCAUAAUGUAAUUCCAAGGGAAAACAGGAAAAGAGUUGUUGCUGUUUUCAGUCAUUCAGUUCCUGGAAAUCCCACCCAACUAGGUUUUGAAAAGGGUGAUGAAAUUAUAUUGAUGAUACCGAUGCCCAGAGACGGAUGGCAUUAUGGUGAAAAUGAUAGAACUAAACAACGUGGAUGGUUUCCUUUCUCCUACACAAGGUUGAAAGAACAACCCAGUGCAUUGGAGAAACCUCAGGAGCCAGUUGUUGGACACAUGCCUCUUCCACCUGCUGAUUAUAAUGAGCCUUCAGUUCAGCAGAAUGGAAAUGGAUGGCCUGCCCCUCCUCAAGAUCAUGGUGCUCCGGACUCCUAUCGACAGAUGAAGGAUCAAAUGCUAUCCGGUCGUCCACCAGCAGGCAGGCAAAGAGGAUACAACAACAACACUGGAUACUCAUACUAACUGUUAUAUUGCAUGUGGUGCUUUCUAAUGUACCUGCCUCUCAAAUUCUGAAAAUAUGAAUUUCUGAAGUUCGUCUGAAUCCUUUUGCGAAUGUACAACUUCGAAAAACGGAGAAUGGUCAAGAUGAAAAUGCAAAUGAUUUUUCAACUUUCAGAUGAAGACUAACAUGUCUAAACAUGUAUUAUUUGUUGCAUCCGAAUUAUUGUGCCUUCCAAUAUUUAUUAUCCCAAUAUCAACGAUACAAAAUUUUAUUAUCUAACGCUACAAUUGUUUAUGUCUAUGUAUGAUACUAUAUUUUCGAUACUCCCGUACCAGGUUAGAACUAAAAUAAGUAAAAUCUGUAUAAAAUUAUGGCCUGAUAUAAGUUUGCGACUGUCUGUGAUAGCCAAGCAAAGUUUCAGUCCCUUUACACAACUUGAUGUAGAAUGGUCAACGAAAUUAUUUACCUUCAUAUUGGUACACACACUUCUGAAGCGCCAUAUUUUCUUCUACAAGGUCUUUGCUAUCAUUUUCCUCUGUGCAAAAUGACUAUCAAAUACAGCACCAGACCAAUGUACUCAUACAUGAUUUGGCUCAUAAGCUUCGAACUUCCAUUCCACUUGUCAAGUUGUGCCUUGGUGAUGUCAUAAAGAAACAAAAACCGCAACUACAUCACUUCUAUGUACAGAAGCGUUUAUAAAACAUUACGGUAAAUGUAAUUUGUCGGUUCAGAUUUUCUCUGCAAAAUUUGUAAAUAUAUUGAAAAUAUUUGUUUGAAUAAGAGAGGAUGUUGCUACAGGUCAAAUCAAAUAACUUGUACAUUUAUCAGUAGUAAAACAAGUUGUAAAACGUUGUAUCUGAAAGUCACAUUCUACUGAUCGACAUCAAUAGACACAUCUGUGUAGUUGCAAGUAUUGAUCAUUUUAAAUUCAUCAUAAUGAAAUGUUAAACUAAGUUUGAAAUGUUGACAUGCACCACAUGCUUAUUGACUUUUAUUUAUAUAUUAUUUUUUUGAAUUGUGGAAUAUAGUAGUACAAAUGAUGGUGGAAGCCUCCCAACAAAAUAUGAUGGUUGGUUUUAUUAAGGCAGUUACAUAAAUUGUGACAUCACUCAGUAAAACAGAGUAUUUGGAAGUUGUGACAUCUCUCUUGCUCAAUAUUAAUAAAUUCAGUUGCGUUGAGUUAUAGCACUUCUCGACCUUUUGUUGGCUUAAAAGUUGAUUUAAGAAAGCUUGUUUUUUAAACCAAGUUUGAAAUAUUUACAUGCGCUACACCUACAUGCUUAUUCACUUUUAUUUAUGUUUCAUUUUUAUUGUUUUAAAAAAAUAUUAGUACUAAUGAUGGCCAGGCUAUGUCUCAUAUAUGUACAAAAUAUGCCUCCAUAAAGCAUUAAUUUACCAAUUAAUUCACUGUAUUUAUAUAUGUAUAUAUUUUGUUAGAUUCGGUAUAAGGUACAUGAUAUCACCAUUGAGCAAAUUUCCUGACGUAUUACUGUUAAUCACUUCUUGUGAAGGCUAAGAGCAUUAGAUUUGGGUAUCAAGUUUGGUAUACCUGAUUUUUCUAGGUUAGCAAUUCGUUAUGAAGUCUGCGGAAUUUAAAUUGAUGAUGUAUUUGAUUAAGACCUAUUUUCCUAAAAUAAAAUUAUGUGCCGAAUAUCUUUUAUCGUUUAUUUUUUUUUUCUAUCUCUAUCGUACUUGAGAAUGUUCCGGAAUAACGUACUAUCUGAAUGAACAUGACUUAGUUUUAACUGUGUUUUCUGAUUGGUGGUGAUUCAUUUUUUUAAUCUGUGACCAGCUCUUAUUUCCCUUUUUCGUAAUAAAGAUUUGUGCUGGAUCCUAUUCAAGUGGUGCAAUUAGGCAGAUAUUUUUUAUAACUUCAUUGCACAAUAAAAUCUUUUGAAAUAAACUAUAAGAAUAUAGACUAUAUAGCUCUCUAUCCAUAUAGCUCUAUUUGAAUAGUUGCAGAUCUGGUUCAAGUGUAUUCCUAUUGCUCUUUCAGAGCUAUUUUGAUAUCAUUAAACCGUAGUUUGUUCUGACUAAUAAUGAUAAUUUUAACUUCAAAACUUGUCCAAUAUGUCAACAGUUUUAAGAAUUUCCAUUCAUAAAAAUCUUACUUUAUUUUUACUAUGAAAAAUAUUUUUUUUUGCGUUGUUAUUGUAAAUAUUGUAACAAUUCUGCUUUUUUUUGACAAUUCAACUACUUCGAUUUUAAUCCUAUUUUGUUUUAGCUUACAAUGAACGAAACGUUUUGUGUAGUUUCUGUAUUCAAACAAUCUAAUGGGAAAAACAGUUUUGUGAAUUCUGGUUUAGAUAUUUAAACACUUGCAUUGUGUCUGCAUCUCAGUUGUACUUAUCUAUCUUUUAAGUCUUCAAAACAAAUGUAUGGACUUAUUAACGAUGUAACAUGAAGGAAUGAUAGAGUUUCAGUUGGAUAAUGUAUAUUAUCAAUGGAUUCUACGUACAUUUACAAGGUCUGACAAUGUUUUUUUGGUUAUGUUUAUAUUUGUGGUUGAUGGUUACAACACUCUGACUUUUAUAUCCAUACCUGAGAAUUGUUUAUUCAUGGUUGUUGGGUGAAAAUUGUAACUUGGCAUAGUAUUAGUUGUGAAUCACAUAGCAUUUUAAAUAAGAACACAGGGCUUCAUUCAAUAAAAAUCAUUGGAUCCCCCAUUUUUGUCCACACAUUAAGCGACAGGGUAGCUAAAAAAAACUGAAGAAUAUGCUACUUUUGAGAAUAAUUUAUGAUACUGAUAAGAAAAAUUUAUUCAUCAUUUGAACUUCUGUUUGUGUGUGAUUGUUCCCAAAAGUUUCGGCAAUCUAGGAGGCUUCGGAAAAAAUAUGUUCCAAAUGACCUUGGACUGGUUUAUAGGUCACCCUAUAUUAUUUGUAUUACUAUAGCAUCCGUUGCUCCCUUCGCCCAGAGUUAUUAUGAAAUCCCUCAAUCCUGACGGAUUUAUAUUGGUUUGCUGGUUUUAUUAUUUGCUUUAAGUCUAUAUUUGAUUGCAAUUGUUGUUUUCUUCAUUUGUAAAUACUUUAAAUUCUAAUCAAAAAUGGUAUUAUUCUCCUCAACGUA